rnacentral:rRNA from 1 species
AUGCUGAUCGACACCGUCUACUUCAGUGGCGUGUGCGAGAACAAGAAGAACUUUUACGAGGUGUGCACCUACCAUGCCAACUGCCUCAUCGGUCUGCAGAAAGAGAUCGACACACUCGCCGGCGUGCUCGACGAGUGGAAGCAGUUCAGGGCGCAGCAGGAGCUGCUUGGCAACAGCACCACCACGCUCAUCUACUGA